UACGAAGGGGGCUAGCGUUGCUCGGAAUCACUGGGCGUAAAGGGCGCGUAGGCGGACUUUUAAGUCGGGGGUGAAAGCCCAGGGCUCAACCCUGGAAUUGCCUUCGAUACUGAGAGUCUUGAGUUCGGAAGAGGUUGGUGGAACUGCGAGUGUAGAGGUGAAAUUCGUAGAUAUUCGCAAGAACACCAGUGGCGAAGGCGGCCAACUGGUCCGAUACUGGACGCUGAGG
rnacentral:rRNA from 1 species